rnacentral:rRNA from 1 species
UACACACGUGUUACAAUGGUCGGUACAGAGGGCAGGCUACCUGGUGACAGGAUGCUAAUCUCGAAAACCGGUCUCAGUUCGGAUCGAAGUCUGCAACUCGACUUCGUGAAGCUGGAUUCGCUAGUAAUCGCGCAUCAGCUAUGGCGCGGUGAAUACGUUCCCGGGCCUU